AAGUGGUUACGUUAAUAAUAGACGAUUUGUUUUCAAAACAAAAAGUGCACUAUAUGCACCACUUG
rnacentral:tRNA from 1 species